AACGCUAGCUACAGGCUUAACACAUGCAAGUCGAGGGGCAGCAUGAACUUAGCUUGCUAAGUUUGAUGGCGACCGGCGCACGGGUGAGUAACGCGUAUCCAACCUUCCGCAUACUCGGGAAUAGCCUUUCGAAAGAAAGAUUAAUGCCCGAUGGUAUCCUAAAUGCACAUGUAAGUAGGAUUAAAGAUUCAUCGGUAUGCGAUGGGGAUGCGUUCCAUUAGAUGGUUGGCGGGGUAACGGCCCACCAAGUCGACGAUGGAUAGGGGUUCUGAGAGGAAGGUCCCCCACAUUGGAACUGAGACACGGUCCAAACUCCUACGGGAGGCAGCAGUGAGGAAUAUUGGUCAAUGGGCGAGAGCCUGAACCAGCCAAGUAGCGUGAAGGAUGAAGGUCCUACGGAUUGUAAACUUCUUUUAUACGGGGAUAAAGUGACUUACGUGUAGGUCAUCGCAGGUACCGUAUGAAUAAGCAUCGGCUAACUCCGUGCCAGCAGCCGCGGUAAUACGGAGGAUGCGAGCGUUAUCCGGAUUUAUUGGGUUUAAAGGGAGCGUAGACGGGUCGUUAAGUCAGCUGUGAAAGUUUGGGGCUCAACCUUAAAAUUGCAGUUGAUACUGGCGUCCUUGAGUACGGUUGAGGCAGGCGGAAUUCGUGGUGUAGCGGUGAAAUGCAUAGAUAUCACGAAGAACUCCGAUUG
rnacentral:rRNA from 1 species